AUACUUCGGCUAACGUUGCUUUGCCGAUACUUAUGCUCAAGUUGACUCCAAAAUCAAUAAUAGAAAACGAGUGAUCACUUUAAAUGGAAUUCUAUGCUUCUAUCUGUUUUCAAUUUGUUGUGGUUACGUAUUGACUCAAUGACUGAAAUUAAAUUUGUUUUAUUAGUUUUUUGUUCCUUUGCUUUGGAAUUAAAGACUCACUUGUA
rnacentral:lncRNA from 1 species